GAUGAACGCUGGCGGCGUGCCUAAUACAUGCAAGUCGAGCGAACGGACGAGAAGCUUGCUUCUCUGAUGUUAGCGGCGGACGGGUGAGUAACACGUGGAUAACCUACCUAUAAGACUGGGAUAACUUCGGGAAACCGGAGCUAAUACCGGAUAAUAUUUUGAACCGCAUGGUUCAAAAGUGAAAGACGGUCUUGCUGUCACUUAUAGAUGGAUCCGCGCUGCAUUAGCUAGUUGGUAAGGUAACGGCUUACCAAGGCAACGAUGCAUAGCCGACCUGAGAAGGUGAUCGGCCACACUGGAACUGAGACACGGUCCAGACUCCUACGGGAGGCAGCAGUAGGGAAUCUUCCGCAAUGGGCGAAAGCCUGACGGAGCAACGCCGCGUGAGUGAUGAAGGUCUUCGGAUCGUAAAACUCUGUUAUUAGGGAAGAACGUAUGUGUAAGUAACUGUGCACAUCUUGACGGUACCUAAUCAGAAAGCCACGGCUAACUACGUGCCAGCAGCCGCGGUAAUACGUAGGUGGCAAGCGUUAUCCGGAAUUAUUGGGCGUAAAGCGCGCGUAGGCGGUUUUUUAAGUCUGAUGUGAAAGCCCACGGCUCAACCGUGGAGGGUCAUUGGAAACUGGAAAACUUGAGUGCAGAAGAGGAAAGUGGAAUUCCAUGUGUAGCGGUGAAAUGCGCAGAGAUAUGGAGGAACACCAGUGGCGAAGGCGACUUUCUGGUCUGUAACUGACGCUGAUGUGCGAAAGCGUGGGGAUCAAACAGGAUUAGAUACCCUGGUAGUCCACGCCGUAAACGAUGAGUGCUAAGUGUUAGGGGGUUUCCGCCCCUUAGUGCUGCAGCUAACGCAUUAAGCACUCCGCCUGGGGAGUACGACCACAAGGUUGAAACUCAAAGGAAUUGACGGGGACCCGCACAAGCGGUGGAGCAUGUGGUUUAAUUCGAAGCAACGCGAAGAACCUUACCAAAUCUUGACAUCCUUUGACAACUCUAGAGAUAGAGCUUUCCCCUUCGGGGGACAAAGUGACAGGUGGUGCAUGGUUGUCGUCAGCUCGUGUCGUGAGAUGUUGGGUUAAGUCCCGCAACGAGCGCAACCCUUAAGCUUAGUUGCCAUCAUUAAGUUGGGCACUCUAAGUUGACUGCCGGUGACAAACCGGAGGAAGGUGGGGAUGACGUCAAAUCAUCAUGCCCCUUAUGAUUUGGGCUACACACGUGCUACAAUGGACAAUACAAAGGGCAGCGAAACCGCGAGGUCAAGCAAAUCCCAUAAAGUUGUUCUCAGUUCGGAUUGUAGUCUGCAACUCGACUACAUGAAGCUGGAAUCGCUAGUAAUCGUAGAUCAGCAUGCUACGGUGAAUACGUUCCCGGGUCU
rnacentral:rRNA from 1 species